GCAGAUAUGGCGGAACAGGUAGACGCAAGGGACUUAAAAUCCCUCGGUAGCAAUACCAUAUCAGUUCGAUUCUGAUUAUCUGCACCA
rnacentral:tRNA from 1 species